ACUCCUACGGGAGGCAGCAGUGGGGAAUUUUCCGCAAUGGGCGAAAGCCUGACGGAGCAAUGCCGCGUGAGGGAAGAAGGCCUCUGGGCUGUAAACCUCUUUUAUCAAGGAAGAAGAUCUGACGGUACUUGAUGAAUAAGCCACGGCUAAUUCCGUGCCAGCAGCCGCGGUAAUAC
rnacentral:rRNA from 1 species